rnacentral:lncRNA from 1 species
AGAAUAUAAGUCCGCUCAUUCAAUUGUUUAUGAUAAAAUAUGAAUGCGGGUACAGCACAGCACCCUCUUGUCUCGUUAUUAUUAUUAUUAUUUUUUCCCCACUUCACCCUAUAAGGAGUCCUAUCGAGGAAGCAAGUUAUUUGUUAAUCUUACACAUAACAUAGCUCUGCAUCAUAAAAACUAGUAUCUGACAACUAAAGCAUAUAUAUUUGUAUAGCGUAUAUUAUACUCGAACUUUACACCCAAUUUGCUCCUCAUCCCAAACUCAUUUUGUUUGCUGCAAUUGCUAUAGCAAACCCUUUCGGCUAUCCUGCAACAUCAAUCGAUUUGAAAAAGAUUAGAGUCAGAUUAAGUUUAUCAAAUCUGAAUCAUCUCCAGAUCAAGCAAGCAAGUUUAAACUGUAAUCGGCCUUUUAAAAAUCCUUUCUGACUGAGGACCUUUCACAGAGUGGACUAGAAAUGUGCCCGCGCUUUGCUGCGGGUCAGUCCUACAUUCACAUUUGUCUUCUCGCCUGGGAGAACUCAUGCAGGAUGUAUAUACAUCAGCAGCUUCAUUCUUCUCAACUUCAGUGUUCGGUUCUACCUCCCUAUUUUUACAAAUUUAAGGCUUUAUUUAUGCAAAUAUAGGUUUAACUCUGCAGGUAUCUCCGAAACUUCAAGCUGCUCGUAAUAUCCUUCCGCAACUUGAAAUCAAUAUGACAAACCUAUAAAGUCAAAAAUGUGCUAAUCAAAGGGAAAAAAAAUCAUUUUAUGAAAGCACAACACUGCUUUGAAAGUACAAAUGGAAUGUUCAGCAAUCAUACAUGUAUAACUAAAGUUGAAAACAGAAGCAAGAAACACAAAUAUGGUAACAGCCUAUGUACCUGUUACAUAUACAAUAAAAUGAAAAUUAAUUUUUCAGAUGUCAACCGACAUAAGGAGUAUUGCAUCUUUAUUUGUAAACAACAAAAGCUAUAAUUCUCAUGAUCAUCCACCAUCUUUGUCUCUGUCACCUACGAUCCAUGUUCCACUAAAGAAGAAAAAGAAAGAUAGCUCGAAGUAUUUGCUGACUCAAGGUAUUUGCAUAAUCACAUAUAUAAAUGCAUAGUUCAAUCAGAGAUGCCUAAUCCAUGUACUCGAAAUGAUGCAAAUUCCAGAC